rnacentral:lncRNA from 1 species
GCUUACUUCAAGGUUAGCAUCACAUGCUUUCUUGUAAGCAUUCUUAGCAGCAGCGGGUGCAUCAUCAGCAGGUUCUUCUGGUAGUGGGUUGUCUAGAACAUCUUCCUUUUUCUCAGCCCUGAGAACAAUUCUCAGGUUACGGAUCCAAUCCGAGUAAUUUGUUCCAUUCAACUUGUCCUUCUCAAGGACCGAAUGCAAAGCAAACGGUGUAGUGCUGCUAGGUGCCAUUAAUCUACAACAAAGUAAUGCAAAAUACACUAAGACAAACGUAUCCAUGAUAGAGCAAAUCACAUUAAACUAUUUUAAUAGAAUCUACUCCCACUAAAAUCAAUAUCCCUCUAUUGAAACUUAGUGAUUCAGGAUCCACAACUAACAAGUCCA